ACACAUACAAGAGCACCGAUCCAAUAAAGUUCUCAAAAGUGCAAACUAGUUUAUCACUAAGAGAACCAAUUAAUGGAGAAAAUGAGAGUGGUACUAAUUACUCUAUUGUUGUUUAUAGGUGCAGCAGUUGCAGAAAAAGCUGGUAAUGGCAAAGCUGCCAAUAAUCCUGCAGAAGAUGCUAGUGAUGGCGAAGCCAUUAAUCUUGUAGAAGAAGCUGGUGGUAUUGGUGAUGCCAUUACUCCUGCAGAAGGCAAAGCCACUAAUCUUUAAGCGUAUGAGUCAGCUAGAUUCAAAAAGUUUGUGACACAUUGCAGCUCACAUGUUGCUCAAACAUGCAGUGGAAAUGAUCCAUUGCAUCAUCAGGAAGGUGGCCAUGGAAUAAACGUUCCACUUGGGUUGUCAUUUUGCCUUUUUGAUUCUAUGGAGAAAUGCUUGGGAGACCAUGAAGCCAAACUUAUAGAUCCCAACCCAGGUCCCAUGUCGGCUAUUCCUAAUUCAAUCCAAUCUCAGCAACUCCUCAUUGAGACUGUAAAAUUCAGAACUGUCUUGAAAACCUGUACUCAUGUUAGUGCACAAUCUUGUUUAACUGCUCCUAACGUUGAUACAUCGGUUUUACCGGCAUGUCUCGGGCCAUCUCUCAAUCAAUGUGUUUAUCCUGCAGCUGAUGCAUUUACACCUGGCCCGCCGAUCGAACUCCCACCUAUUAUUAUUUAUAAUUAGAUCUCGGAAGUACUGCAAACAGAAGAAUAAUUGGGUUUGCUCGAUCAGCCUAUCUAAUAAUCCUUUGGCCUAGUGAAGGGACUAAAGUCUUUAUCUCUCUUGAAACGUUCCAGUGAUAUGUCAAUUAUACAUGAUUGCCUUGCAAUUAACCUUGUAUUAUGAUGAAGAAUCUGUUAUACCUUCAUUAUUCCAAUUUGCUACAUCUGGUCUGUAUAAGAAAUCACUCAUGUCAUGAAUCAUGAUCGAUAAUUACAUUCCUACUAAAUAGUAAUUACUAAAACAUGUUUUACAUCUA